CGAAGAAACUUAAAUAGAAGUUGACGGGGCCGCGACAGGCGGUGGAGUAUGUGGUUAAUUCGAUGCAACGCGAAGGAACCUUACCUGGUCUUGACAUCCCGGAGACCCUUAGGAAACUAGGGGUGCUUCCAUCUGGAAGAAUCUGGAGACAGGUGCUGCAUGGCUGUCGUCAGCUCGUGUCGUGAGAUGUUGGGUUAAGUCCCGCAACGAGCGCAACCCUUGCCUUUAGUUGCCAGCAGUUCGGCUGGGCACUCUAAAGGGACUGCCGGUGUUAAACCGGAGGAAGGUGGGGAUGACGUCAAGUCCUCAUGGCCUUUAUGACCAGGGCUACACACGUACUACAAUGGCCGAUACAAAGGGCAGCGACACUGCGAGGUGAAGCCAAUCCCGUAAAAUCGGUCUCAGUCCGGAUUGGAGUCUGCAACUCGACUCCAUGAAGUUGGAAUCGCUAGUAAUCGUGGAUCAGCAUGCCACGGUGAAUACGUUCCCGGGCCUU
rnacentral:rRNA from 1 species